AACAAACGUUGGCGGCGUGGAUGAGGCAUGCAAGUCGCGCGUGAAAGUUCCCUUCGGGGAGCGAGUAAAGCGGCGGACGGGUGAGUAACACGUAAUCAAGCUGCCCCCCAAAUCGGGAUAACCGCGGGAAACUGCGGCUAAUACUGGAUGGUCUUGGAUGGACGCAUGUCCGACCAAGUAAAGGAAGGGAUCCUUCGGGACCUUGCGUUGGGGGAGGCGAUUGCGGCCUAUCAGCUUGUUGGUGAGGUAAUGGCUCACCAAGGCAUCGACGGGUAGCAGGCCUGAGAGGGUGGUCCGUCACACUGGGACUGAGACACUGCCCAG
rnacentral:rRNA from 1 species